UUUGGUGAAAGCUUGGCAUUGGCAGGGUUUUCUUCUUUUGUUCUAACCUUCUUUAUUCCUGACCAUCACUGCUAGGAACUGAAAGCAGAGAGCCCUGUGGGCCAGACCACUCCUUCAGACUGGGUCAGAAAUAGAAGGGCUUCUCCAUGAGAGCAGCAUUUGCCUAUGGAGCCCUUCUGUGUGCUCCAUUCUAGCCCCCUCCCAGCACCUUUCAGCUCUAGGCUGGCAGUUAUUUUUGCCUCUGACAGUUAACUACUCAAUCUUUUCUGCUUCCAGCAAAUGCCCCUGGCACCCUAGCUUCACACACUCCCCAAAUCAAUGCCUUUCUUCUGCCAUUCUCCUCUUCCAUCACAUUCCCCAUGUAAUAGAGAGACUCGUCAGAGAUGUACUAUUUUUUCCGUUGCAAUCGAGAGUAUACGUGUGACAAUUCCCGUUGUGCCUCGUAGCAAGGAGGAAAGUUAAUGAGGGUUCCCAAGAGGCAAGAUGGAUCUCAUAACUGGCUUGGAUGUUGAGAUUGAUAAUGUCACACACGCACCAAGAGGAGAAGAAAAAUUUCUCUCCCAAACAUGUCCAAAUAUGGUUUGAGAGACAAAGGAGAG